CUUGGUCAUUUAGAGGAAGUAAAAGUCAUAACAAGGUUUCCGUAGGUGAACCUGCGGAAGGAUCAUUAAUAGUGCCCAUUGAUGCAAAUCAUUGGGUUAGAUCUGCCCUUAUCGCAAGAUGAGGGCUUCCAUAUACACCGUGAACUGUGGCUUCGGCCAUCACAAACUGUUAGUAAUGAAUGUAAUAUCAUAACAAAAACAAAACUUUUAACAACGGAUCUCUUGGCUCUCGCAUCGAUGAAGAACGCAGCGAAAUGCGAUAAGUAAUGUGAAUUGCGGAAUUCAGUGAAUCAUCGAAUCUUUGAACGCACCUUGCGCCCUUUGGUAUUCCGAAGGGCAUGCCUGUUUGAGUGUCAUGAAACCUCACCCCACUUAGGUUUUUGCCUAAGCGGUGGUGUAUUGGGUGUUUGCCUUGCUAAAGGCUCGCCUUAAAGAUAUAAGCACCUUGGAUGUAAUACGUUUCAUCCUUCUGGGUGGCUGAUAACCCCACAUAUUCAUGAUCUGGCCUCAAAUCAGGUAGGGCUACCCGCUGAACUUAAGCAUAUCAAUAAGCGGAGGAAAAGAAACUAACUAGGAUUCCCUUAGUAACGGCGAGUGAACCGGGAUGAGCUCAAAUUUAAAAUCUGGCGUCUUUCAGGCGUCCGAGUUGUAAUCUAUAGAGGCGUUUUCCGCGCCGGACCGCGUCCAAGUCUCUUGGAAUAGAGUAUCAAAGAGGGUGACAAUCCCGUACUUGACGCGACAACCGGUGCUCUGUGAUACGUUCUCAAUGAGUCGAGUUGUUUGGGAAU
rnacentral:sRNA from 1 species